AUAGAUAGAGAGAGAAAAAAAAGAUUAGCAUUUGUAAUACCUACGACGACGUGGAGGCUGAGGAGAUUACUGAAAAUUGGGGAAUAGGGUUCGUUUUGCUUUCUGUUGACGGCAGGAAGCUGGUAAAGUAUAAGCAAAGACACACAAAGAGUGAAAUAAACUAAAAAAAAAAUUAAAGAAUAAUGAAAUCAAAGACGUGACGACAUUACCUGCCAUAAGAACCAGAUUUCGUGGCUGAGGAAAGAAAGUAAAGAAGAAAAGAUGUGGUGACGAGGCAUUAAAUUGAGCAGGGAUUUAUAGCAGUGAAGUAGAGAAGAAAAGAUGGAGAAAAUGCUUUGAAUAGAAGCAGAUUUACU
rnacentral:lncRNA from 1 species